rnacentral:rRNA from 1 species
GCCCUUAGAGUUUGAUCCUGGCUCAGGAUGAACGCUGGCGGUAUGCUUUACACAUGCAAGUCGUACGAGAGUUUUUAACUCAAGUGGCGGACGGGUGAGUAACACGUAAGAAUUUGCCUUUAGGAGGGGGAUAACAACUGGAAACGGUUGCUAAUACCCCAUAUGCUUUCGAGUAAAAUGGAUUUUCCGCCUAAAGAGAAGCUUGCGGCUGAUUAGCUUGUUGGUGAGGUAAUGGCUCACCAAGGCGACGAUCAGUAUCUGGUUUGAGAGGACGAUCAGACACACUGGAACUGAGACACGGUCCAGACUCCUACGGGAGGCAGCAGUGGGGAAUUUUCCGCAAUGGGCGAAAGCCUGACGGAGCAAUACCGCGUGAGGGAUGACGGCCUAUGGGUUGUAAACCUCUUUUUUCAGGGAGGAAUCAAUGACGUGUACCUGUAGAAUAAGCAUCGGCUAACUCCGUGCCAGCAGCCGCGGUAAGACGGAGGAUGCAAGUGUUAUCCGGAAUCACUGGGCGUAAAGCGUCUGUAGGUGGUCAAAUAAGUCAACUGUUAAAUCUUGAGGCUCAACCUCAAAAUCGCAGUCGAAACUAUUCGACUAGAGUAUAGUAGGGGUAAAGGGAAUUUCCAGUGGAGCGGUGAAAUGCGUAGAGAUUGGAAAGAACACCGAUGGCGAAGGCACUUUACUGGGCUAUUACUAACACUGAGAGACGAAAGCUAGGGUAGCAAAUGGGAUUAGAUACCCCAGUAGUCCUAGCCGUAAACAAUGGAUACUAGAUGUUGAACAGAUCGACCUGUGCAGUAUCAAAGCUAACGCGUUAAGUAUCCCGCCUGGGAAGUAUGCUCGCAAGAGUGAAACUCAAAUGAAUUGACGGGGAAGGGCGAAUUCU